rnacentral:rRNA from 1 species
UACAGAGGGGGCAAGCGUUGUUCGGAAUUACUGGGCGUAAAGCGUGCGUAGGUGGUUCGUUAAGUCUGAUGUGAAAGCCCUGGGCUCAACCUGGGAAUGGCAUUGGAAACUGGCGACCUAGAGUGCGGUAGAGGGCAGUGGAAUUCCCGGUGUAGCAGUGAAAUGCGUAGAGAUCCGGAGGAAUACCAGAGGCGAAGGCGGCACCCUGGGUCUGACCUGACACUGAUCCGCGACAGCAUGGGGAGCGAACGGGG